UCCAGGACUUUUUCCCCCAAAGUCUGGCUCUUCCUGUCCGUUUUUCCAUGGAAAAUGGCAAAAUUCCCAACAUUCUGCUCUCCCAGCAUUCCUGCUUUCCUCAGCCAGGGCUGUUUCCAUGGUUGGAACAUUCCUCUGGAUGGGAGCCACCCUGGAUGAGGCGAGUGGAGAUUUUCGGGAAGCUGGGAAUUGCUUCCCAAAGAUCCAACGGCUCCAAUACCUCCUUGGACAACAAAAAUAAACCCGGAUUUGAAAAAUUCCCACAAUUCCAGAGCUUCCCAAUGGGAAUUUCAGCCCCUUUCAGCACAGCCUCGCCCCAGAGCCAAACCCAUGAUCCGGUGGGAGAAGGAUAAAGGGGAAUAACCCGGAAUGUUGGGAGCAGGAUUCGUUUUCCGAAGGCAAAGCUUCCUUGGCAGCCUCCAGAUUCCAGAGGGAAUUCCCAGGAGUGGAAUUCCAGGCCAUCAGGAGGCUCCCAGGGCAUCAGAGCCGACAGGAAUCCUGGAAAUCGUGGGAUGUGAGCCCUGCCAUGUCCGGAUCGCUCCCAUUUCUCCCAGCUUUUAAUUCCCCGCGAAUCCAGCGGCUGGCGGGAGCUCCCUUGGAAUGCCCUGGGGGAUUCCCAGCCUUGGGAAGGGAGGGAACGACUGGGGAAUGCGGCUCCUGCCUCAUCCAAAUGAUUAUUCCCAGUUUUUUCCUGUAAAUACGGAUUUUCCCGCGUUCCCUUCCAAAGCUGGAUCCCUUCACUCCCCAGAAACACCAAUCCUUGUUUUCCAACGGAGCUGGCACCCUCCUGUCCUUCCCAGAUUCCCAAGGGAUCAAUCCAGCCUGGAAAACCAGGCCUGAGCCUCAUUCCAUGCAUCCCUUGGGAACAACCGGAAUCCAGGGCAGCACAUUCCAGAGCAGCCAGGAAAAUUCCUUGGGAAUUUACCUGCAGCCAACAGUUUCCCAGAUUUUUCCUGCAGCCAACAUUCCAAAGAAUUCCUGGAACGUGCCACCACCACCACCGCAUGGCGUUGGCAAAUUCCAUGAGCGGCUCCCAGGUCCAGGCACUCCACAUCCCAUGGGAUCAUCUUUUCCAAAAGAUGGGAAGGAGCUGAGGAGAUCCUGGAUUUCAAUCCUGGGAAAUACUUGGAAGCUCCAAAAGGAUGGAAAAGAGGGGAGGAAGAGGAGGAAUUUCCAUUUUUGGGUGGAAAACAGCCCGGAAUUUCCAACUUCGGAGCUCCACCGGAGGACAGGGCCUGCCUUGGAUGGGUUUCAGGAGGAAUUUCUCCAUCCUGGGAAUGUUCGGCUGUUGGGAAGCUCUGGAGUCGUUAUCUCCACACAAUUUAAUUAAAGUCUGGCGUUAAUGACACAAUGGCCACUAA